rnacentral:rRNA from 1 species
AUACGGAGGGUGCAAGCGUCAAUCGGAAUUACUGGGCGUAAAGCGCGCGUAGGCGGCUCAGUCAGUCGGAUGUGAAAGCCCCGGGCUCAACCUGGGAAUUGCAUUCGAUACUGCUGAGCUAGAGUAUGGAAGAGGGAAGUGGAAUUCCGGGUGUAGCGGUGAAAUGCGUAGAUAUCCGGAGGAACACCAGUGGCGAAGGCGACUUCCUGGGCCAAUACUGACGCUGAGGUGCGAAAGCGUGGGGAGCAAACAGGAUUAGAAACCCGAGUAGUCC